rnacentral:lncRNA from 10 species
AUGAAGAUUUCCAAGACUUUAUUGUUGACCCUUGUUGAAGAGAACUCUACUUGGCUUCUUUCCUGGCUUUCCUAAAUUGUUCACAUACAAGAUAAACUACCGUCAUUCAGACUUACAGAAGUGAGAAGACAAGCUGAACCAAAUGUAAAAUGGUAGCAAUUUACAGUAAAUUUGUAGGCUACAAGUAUGACAAUUUGAAAAUGGUAGUUAUUCUUGAUACUUUUACAAAGAGUGUGACCUAAAUUCUUAUUUGCACCUUUAUUUUCUUUCCUUGUUUUUAAACGUAAUUCAGAUGUCAGAACUAACAUGUGGAUGAACUUAGAGAUGGAGAAGAAAGCUGGGCUUUUCCAAAGAGUGGAUCUAUCUGAACUGGAUAGCACUAUUGAACUUUGUUGCAUAUUUUGUGGUAGCUCUAAAACUCCUCUGCUUGCUUACAUACAACCAGACACCAGUGCCUUCUGAAGCUAAUCCAGGCCAUUUUUAUAACCUAAUGCAGUAGCACUUUGCAAUUAGAUGAAGAAGAUCGGUGGGAUUUCUUUCUGUGGUGAUUAAAAUGUGUCAGGGGAAGAAAUCAAGACAAUACUCCAAGUGAAAAAUAUAAAGUCAGUUAUUUCUUUAAUAUUUUGUGUUAUAGUAAUCAUUUUUAUAUUUUGAGCAUACUUUUUCUUGUCUACUUAAAUACUCAAAAUUAAUUAUAAAAUGUAAAUGUAAGCACAAUGAGAUACCAUCUCAUCCCAGUUAAAAUGGCUUUUAUCAAAAAGAUAGGGAAUAAUGAAUACUGGUGGAAGGAUGUGGAGAAUGGGGAACCCUCGUACACUGUCAAUGAGAAUGUAAAUUAGUACAGCCACUAUGGAAAACUGUAUGGAAGUGCCUCCGAAAACAAAGUAGAACUACCAUGUGAUCCAGCAAUUACACUAGUGGGUAUAUAUUCAAAAGAAAGGAAAUCAACAUAUUAAAGAGAUAGCUGCAUUCUCAUGUUUAUUGAAGUCCUGUUGAAAUAGCCAAAAUAUGGAAUCAACCUAAGUGCCCAUCAGUGGAUGAAUGGUUAAAGAAAAUGUGAUUGAUAUGCAAUGGAAUAUUAUUCAGCCAUAAAAAAGAAUGAAAUCCUGGCGGGGCACAGUGGCUCAUGCAAGUAAUCCCAGCACUGACCUCAUGAAGACAGAGAGUAGAUUGGUGGUUACCAGAGGUUGAGAAGGGGAGAGGAGAGGAGGGAUGAAGAGAGGUUGAUUGAUGGAUAGAAAUAUACAGUUUGAUAAUGAUAAAUCAGUAGGGUGACUAUAGUUUAUAAUAACCUAUUGUAUGGUUCAAAAUAGCUAAAAGAGAAUAAUUGAAAUAACGUAAGACAAAAAUUUAAGAUGAUAGAUAUCCCAAUUACACUGAUUUGAUCUUUACAAAUUAUAUGAAUGUAUUAAAUUAUUACAUGUAUCCCCAAAAUAUGUACAAGUAUUUUGUAUCAAUA